rnacentral:rRNA from 1 species
CGGACGGGUGAGUAACGCGUGAGAAUCUGCCCUCAGGAGGGGGAUAACGGCUGGAAACGGCCGCUAAUACCCCAUAUGCCGCGAGGUGAAAUGAAUUUCGCCCGAGGAUGAGCUCGCGUCUGAUUAGCUAGUUGGUGGGGUAAGAGCCUACCAAGGCAUCGAUCAGUAGCUGGUCUGAGAGGAUGAUCAGCCACACUGGGACUGGGACACGGCCCAGACUCCUACGGGAGGCAGCAGUGGGAAAUUUUCCGCAAUGGGCGAAAGCCUGACGGAGCAACGCCGCGUGAGGGAUGAAGGCCUCUGGGCUGUAAACCUCUUUUAUCAAGGAAGAAGAUCUGACGGUACUUGAUGAAUAAGCCACGGCUAAUUCCGUGCCAGCAGCCGCGGUAAUACGGGAGUGGCAAGCGUUAUCCGGAAUUAUUGGGCGUAAAGCGUCCGCAGGCGGUCUUGUAAGUCUGUCGUUAAAGCGUGGAGCUUAACUCCAUUUCAGCGAUGGAAACUGCAAGACUAGAGUGUGGUAGGGGCAGAGGGAAUUCCCGGUGUAGCGGUGAAAUGCGUAGAUAUCGGGAAGAACACCAGUGGCGAAGGCGCUCUGCUGGGCCAUAACUGACGCUCAUGGACGAAAGCCAGGGGAGCGAAAGGGAUUAGAUACCCCUGUAGUC